GAUGAACGCUGGCGGCGUGCCUAAUACAUGCAAGUCGAGCGAACAGACGAGGAGCUUGCUCCUCUGACGUUAGCGGCGGACGGGUGAGUAACACGUGGAUAACCUACCUAUAAGACUGGGAUAACUUCGGGAAACCGGAGCUAAUACCGGAUAAUAUAUUGAACCGCAUGGUUCAAUAGUGAAAGACGGUUUUGCUUUCUUUUAUAGAUGGAUCCGCGCCGCAUUAGCUAGUUGGUAAGGUAACGGCUUACCAAGGCAACGAUGCGUAGCCGACCUGAGAGGGUGAUCGGCCACAUUGGAACUGAGACACGGUCCAGACUCCUACGGGAGGCAGCAGUAGGGAAUCUUCCGCAAUGGGCGAAAGCCUGACGGAGCAACGCCGCGUGAGUGAUGAAGGUCUUCGGAUCGUAAAACUCUGUUGUUAGGGAAGAACAAAUGUGUAAGUAACUAUGCACGUCUUGACGGUACCUAAUCAGGAAGCCACGGCUAACUACGUG
rnacentral:rRNA from 1 species